rnacentral:ncRNA from 1 species
UAGCCCUAGAUGAAGUUUAUCAUCCACUUAAGGCUGCAUUUUCAAGCAACCCGACUCCGGCAUAAUCAUGCGGUAUGUUCAACUGUCGUCACAGGUCUCGCGCCCUCUCCGGAAUAUGGCCCCUAUUAAAGAAACUUUGGACGUGCUAAACAAACCGACAACUAUACCUAUACGCUAUAUUUCUUUACGAUAUAAAAUCGAAAGCUCUUGAAAAUGGAUGUCGCUUGAGCGAAAGACCUAUACCCAACCGUUUCUGGUAUGUGUGCAUGUUGUGUACAACAUAUACGCAUGGCCACAGCGGAUAGGAGAGUCGCGGCGGUUGCACUGAAAGCGUUAGGCGUAGGCCUAGCUAGAGCUCCCUUCAGUGCAUAUCUCGGUGGUAGAAGCAAAUAUUUAAGUUCGACCGUUAAAGACCGAAGUGGAGAAGGGUUCCACGUGAACAGUAGUUGAAAGUGGUUCAGUCGAUCCUAAGAUGCUGGCUUAUGCUGUGUAUCAUUGAGAGGGAAAAAUUUCACUUUUCUCUCAGAUAUCAAAAGGAAAUUGGGUUUAUAUUCCCUAACGUGGACACAGAGAUUGAGAUUCGUAUGAUUCGCUUGCGCGGUAACACAUUCGAAUUUGAUUACGUCGCUCAGAGAUCGAGCUAGAGUUCUCCUCUCUAGUUAAGGAACGGACUCCCUGGAAUCGGUCCAGCCGUAGAUAUGAACGCUGUUUCCGUGAAACAUCACGGUUUCUGUGAUGUCUCGUGCUUUCUGGACGAUCCUUGAAAAAUCAAGGAAGGUUAUUAAUCUGUGCUAUAUCGUACCGAUAUCCCUGUAUCAGGUCUCCAAGGUGAACAACCUCUAGUCGAUGGAAUAAUGUAAGUAAGGGAAGUCGGCAAAUUACAUCCAUAAUUUCGGGAAAGGGAUUAGCUCCAGUGACUGAAUCGGUUGGUCUGUUAAUUGAUGCUUGUGCAGUUUUCGGCCGUAGCCAGCAAAUGUGCGUGUGAAGUGCGCCGAAGCUGGAUUACUGAUAUGACCACCUCAUGGACAUUUACAGGUGUGUGCUUUGCCUUCGGACUUAGUAUCCUGAUCGACCAUCAAAACGGUCGAACUGGAACUGGUACGGACUCGGGGAAUCCGACUGUCUAAUUAAAACAGAGGAGACAGAUGGUCGUUGCAGACGCCUACUGUCUCUGAUUUCUGCCCAGUGCUCUGAAUGUUAAAUCGUAGCAAUUCGAGUAAGCGUUGGUAAACGGCGAAAGUAACUAUGACUCCCUUAAGGUAACCGAAUGCCUCAUCAGCUAACUACUGACGAGCAUGAAUGGAUUAACGAGAUUCUCACUGACCCUAACUACUAUCUAGCGAAACCACAGCCAUGAGAACGAGAUUGGCAAAAUGGUGGGGAAAGAAGAUCCUGUUGAGCUUGACUCUAGUUUGGUAUUGUGAAGAAUCAUGAGAAGUGUAGCAUAGGUAGGAGAUCGUAUUCGCGUGUGAUCGUCAAUGAAGUACCACCAAUUUCAUCGAUUCCUUACUUAUUCGGUGAAAAGAGAAUUGAGUUUUACGACUCUCUAUGCUGAAAAUGCUGAAAAUCAAUUUCACAAUUUAGCGGUUGUCUGUGGAUUUUGGGGUGCCGCUUGCGCGUUUCGAUUCAUUAAGGUCUAAACGCUGCUGAUUCCGAUGCUCCGAGAUACGAUUUAAUAUAUUCUAAACAAUUUACACCAUAAUGGAUCCUAGAAAUGCUUAUUUACGUCAGAAUCAGCUUCAGACCUUAAUGGAUCGAAACACGCAAGCAAUACCCAAAAUCAACGGAACAUCGUAAUAUUGUGAGACUGAUUUUCAGCACUCCUAGGAACUAUAAAGGUAGUUUUGAGACGCAUAAAUUCGAAAUUGUUCAGAAUAUAAUGAAACGGAUCUAGACUCGUCAGAAUCAGUUUCAGACCUUAAUGGAUCGAAACACGCAAGCAAUACCCAUGCGUUAAAGUAAAGUCACAUUGUGGCAGUAUGACUCUCGUCGAUGACAUUGUCAGGCGGGAGUUUGACUGGGGAGGCACAUCUGUCAAACCGUAAGGCAGGUGUCCUAAGGUUAGCUCGGAGAGGACGAAAACCUCUCGCAGAGCAAAAGGGCAAAAGCUCGCUUGAUCUUGACCUUCAGUACGACUACAGACUGCGAAAGCGUGGCCUAUCGAUCUUUUUAAUCCAGAGAGUUUCUGGUAAGAGGUGUCAGAAAAGUUACCACAGGGAUAACUGGCUUGUGGCAGCCAAGCAUCCAUAGCGACGUUGCUUUUUAUCCUUCGAUGUCGUCCUAUCAUUGCGAAGCAGAAUUCGCCAACCGUUGGAUUGUUCACCCACUACUAUGGAGCGUGAGCUUGGUUUAGACCGUCAUGAGACAGGUUAAUUUUACCCUGCUAUUAACAUAUUGUUGCUAUAGUAAUCCUGCUUACUACGAAAGGAAUAGCAGGUUCAGACAUUUCGUUCAUGGACUUGGCUGAUCGGUUAGUGAUUCGAAGCUAGCAUCUGGAGAUUAUGACCGAACGCCUCUAAGUCAGAAUCCCACCUAGUCAAGGUGACGAUUACUUUGUUCCUCGGUGUCGGGAGGCAACCAUAUCUCAUGAUAAUUCAAUGUUUUUCAUCAAUAAGCAGACACGAGGUUGUUAAUAUAGAAUUUAUUAAAACACAAUUGCUGACGUUUCGGGGGUUUCGCCUUCUUCAGAGCCUGGAAAGGUCAAAUUGAGAUGUGAUCUACUCAGCCAAACACUUUCAUAACCCUAGCAGAUAAAACUUGAUAAAUCUAUUUGCAUUCGCAUAAGAAACAGCUUCAUUCAAACACCUCCGUUUAUUUGUUGUAAGUAUUUAAGUUAGUUGGUGGAUAGCCGCCGCACAGAGUAAUACAUGGUCGAUAACUGUGUCCA